UGGGGCUGGAGCCCUGCUAUGGGGCUGGAGCCCCGCUAUGGGGCGGGACCCUGCUAUGGGGCUGGAGCCCCGCUAUGGGGCUGGACCUCGCUAUGGGGCUGGAGCCCUGCUAUGGGGCUGGAGCCCCGCUAUGGGGCAGGACAGAAUGCCCGGUAUAGGUCAUCCAAUAGGGCUGUGCCCCCCAACCAUGCAGGCCACAGGCUGCCCCACGGUGUGCCCCAUAGAGCCGUGCCCCAUAGGAUUGAGCCCCAUAGGGCUGAGCCCCCCAACCACGUGGGGCUGCCGUCCACCCCGUAGCGUGCCCCAUAGCGCCGAGCCCCAUAGGAUCGAGCCCCAUAGGAUCGAGCCCCCCAACCAUGUGGAGCUGCCACCUGCCCCAUGGCGUGCCCCAUAGCGCCGAGCCCCAU